GUAGUCUCGCACAGAUGCAUAUCAAUAAGCGGAGGAAAAGAAACUAACAAGGAUUCCCCUAGUAACGGCGAGUGAAGCGGGAAGAGCUCAAAUUUGAAAUCUUAAAGGGUUUCCCUUUACGAAUUGUAGUUUAAAGAAGUGUUUUCUGUUGAGGUUUUGGUAAAAGUUCUUUGGAAUAGGACAUCAUAGAGGGUGAGAAUCCCGUAUUUGACCUUUACUUUCAACUUUGUGAUACACUUUCAAAGAGUCGGAUUGUUUGGGAAUGCAGUCCAAAAUGGGUGGUAAAUUUCAUCUAAAGCUGAAUAUUGGCGAGAGACCGAUAGCGAACAAGUACCGUGAGGGAAAGAUGAAAAGAACUUUGAAAAGAGAGUUAAACAGUACGUGAAAUUGUCAAAAGGGAAGCGUUUGACACCAGUGUUGUUUUUCUGAAAAUCAAUUAAAGAACUGUUUAUGCUAAGUUGUUUAGACUUUAUCAGCUAACUGUUUAGUUUUGAGCUUUUCUUUAAUGCACUUUUCAGUUAACAAGUCAACAUCAAUUUCUUUUGCUGUAAAAAAGCUUGAGGAAGGUGGCUUGAGAUUCGUCUUAAGUGUUUAUAGCCUCUUGCCUAUGCAGUCGGAGAGAUUGAGGUCUGCAGCGUAGAUCCUUCGGGGCUAAAUGCAUUUGUGCUAAGUUAUAGCAUUUUAUAGACAACUUGUUGACUAUGAUUUGUCUUGUAGCUUACUCGCUUAUGUUAUUUUACCUACGCUUAGGAUGUUGACGCAUGAGAUAUACGC
rnacentral:rRNA from 1 species